rnacentral:rRNA from 1 species
GGGACGAACGCUGGCGGCGUGCUUAACACAUGCAAGUCGAGCGGUGAUCCUCCUUCGGGAGGUGAUCAGCGGCGAACGGGUGAGUAACACGUGGGCAACCUGCCCCUCACACUGGGAUAACCUCGGGAAAACCGGGGCUAAUACCGGAUACGACCUCGAGCGGCAUCUCUUGAGGUGGAAAGCUCCGACGGUGAGGGAUGGGCCCGCGGCCUAUCAGCUUGUUGGUGGGGUAAUGGCCUACCAAGGCGACGACGGGU